rnacentral:rRNA from 1 species
AAUUGCCAUCAUUCAGUUGGGCACUUUAAAGAGACUGCCGGUGUUAAACCGGAGGAAGGUGGGAUGACGUCAAGUCCUCAUGGCCUUUAUGCCCAGGGCUACACACGUGCUACAAUGGGUGGUACAAAGAGAUGCAAUCUCGCAAGAGCAAGCAAACCUCAAAAAGCCAUCCUCAGUUCGGAUUGGAGUCUGCAACUCGACUCCAUGAAGUCGGAAUCGCUAGUAAUCGCGGAUCAGCACGCCGCGGUGAAUACGUUCCCGGGCCUU